rnacentral:rRNA from 1 species
UACGAAGGGGGCUAGCGUUGCUCGGAAUCACUGGGCGUAAAGGGUGCGUAGGCGGGUCUUUUAAGUCAGGGGUGAAAUCCUGGAGCUCAACUCCAGAACUGCCUUUGAUACUGAGGAUCUUGAGUUCGGGAGAGGUGAGUGGAACUGCGAGUGUAGAGGUGAAAUGCGCAGAUAUCAGGAAGAACACCCGUGGCUAAGGCGGCUCUCUAGUACGGUACUGGACGCUGAGACGCGAAAAGCCGUGGGGAGCGAACAGG